GGGGAUUUAGCUCAGCGGUAGAGCACUUGCCUAGCAAGUGCAAGGCCCUGGGUUUGAUUCCCAGCUCCG
rfam:Rattus norvegicus chromosome 2, whole genome shotgun sequence.